UGACUCAACAUGGCCCUUCAAUGUGUGAAUCUCUCUUAGCCUGCAACAUUAGCACUAGUUCAUAUGCUUUGUGUCCUUCAAGAAAAGAAAUUGCAGAUAAAUGACUACAUGUAAUAUCAUGAGCUUGAUUUUCACUUCUUGAAAUAGGUCUUAGAGGGCUAAUCUUCAUGCAUGUCCAUCUUUAAUCAUACUUGUCAGAUACUGACAUAAAAAAUACAAGUUAUCCCUCUCGCUCUAACCUUGGUACAGCUAAACUUUACCUUCCAGAUGGUAAGUUAAAGGAUUUCCAUCAUGGAAUGACCUUUAGUUCUUUACUGUGCGUGCAGGCUAAGUACUUACCUUGCUACUUCGGCACGCCUCUUUGCCUGCUCAGCGAGCUCACUCAACUCCCUAUAGCUGGCCUUGUCAUUUUUCAUGGUUUCUGGGGACUGGAGACCAUGAAGCGUGCGCUGAGCUGUAGCCCAUUGAGCCUCCCUUUCACCCUUUCCAUAAUCCUUCUUGGUAGUGAAAGCAGUCUGGAUUGGUUUUUAAACAAGCACAGAGAUUAUCCCAAGCCUUCCCGGUCAAUGCAUAGCGGGUGAUGAACUUGAGGAUGUCAAGAGGGAUGUAGGUGAUAAUGCUGAAAAUCCAGAUUAUUCCUGCCCAUCCCCAACCGAUGCCUUGGAUUCUUGCAAAUCCCCAGUUUGCAUACACAGCAAUGACAGUUGCCACCUUCAUGGAGAAGUAAUAAGUUAGAGCUUCCUACGGUGAUCAUGUUAAUGGAUAGAUAACGGCUGGGAGUAGAAGGGGGAAAGAGAUCAAAGUACUAACCAAUUGCGCUGCAAGGAAGGCACCGACAAGCAAGAGACCAGGGCGUUCAGUGAAGGACCAGCUCCUUGACCUGGUCACAAAGAUGAGUGCUUGACUGAUGAUGCUCACUUGAAGAGUACCAAUUCACUUACGGAGAAGAAGUCAGUGCCAUGAGCAAGCCAGAAGAACAGCACGGUUAUAAUUGCCAAGUAGGUUCCAAGGACAACGCCCAUGGCAAAAAUUUCCUCAAGCUUCCAGGAGUCAGGGACAGGAGAUGGCUUGACUCUAUCCUUGGAGAUGGUCAUAAUGGUUCCAUCAUUGAGGAUGGCAAUGAUGAGGACCAUGAAUGGAGAGAAGUCAAACUUCCAGAUAAGUGCAACAAGCAAGAAUCCCAACACAAUACGAAUUGUGAUGGAAACAGCAUAGAUUGUGUAGUUCUUCAUCCGUUGGAAGAUGGCUCUGCUUGUCAGCACAGCACUGAUAAUCACACUCAAUCCUGGUUCUGUCAAGACAAUGUCUGAGGCACUCCUGGCAGCAUCAGUUGCAUCUGCCACGGCAAUACCAAUGUCCGCCUUCUUCAAUGCCGGCGCAUCAUUAACACCAUCACCUGUCAUUCCACAAAUGUGCUUCCUCUCUUGGAGCUGCUUAACAAUCUCAUAUUUGUGCUCUGCAUAUCCAAAGCUCACAUUAUUUAGGUCUCCUAAAUAGUACUCAAACACAAACUCUUUGCUGUACCAGUCAAGGUUUAAUAAAGAUCCCAUUACCCGGGAAGACGCCAGCAAACCCAUCAGCUUUCUCAAUGAGCUCAUCAACUGGAACGGACGCAAUUGAUUCAUAUUUGUUAUCACCAAGGAGGGAUGAUGAAGGAUACAUGUUGGUACCCAUGCCAAGCCUGCGGCCAGUCUCUUUUCCAAUUGCCAGUUGGUCGCCAGUGAUCAUCUUGACAUUGACACCAAGGUCAAGUGCUCGGCGGAUAGUCUCAGCACUAUCAUGCCUUGGAGGGUCAAAAAGAGGCAAGAGACCCACAAACUCCCAUGGUGCUCCUGCACUUUCCUUGUUCUUCUCUGGUAUUCUCUGUAAACAGUAAAAAAAAUGUUCAUUUCAUCAAAACAUGGUUGAGCUAAAAAGUUCACCUAGGUUGUUAGAUUCCAAGUAAUAUUAUGAAACAAGUAGCAAAGAAAUUGUUAGAUUAA